AAACCACGGUAUUGCAUGGCUGAUAUAUAAUCCAUACAAAGGAUAUAACCAAGUAGCAUGGUCUUAUAUUGUGGGCUGGCGGUGUGCUACAAGUAACAAAAAGUACAACCGGAUUAAUUACUGAAAUCAUAAAUAUAAAGAGGGAAUCGCUAGUAAUCUUUAUUAUAACAUAAAGGUGAACCAGUUUAGUGUGCACACACUGCCCGUCACAUCCGGGAAAACCACAAAGCCCUAAGUUUGUAUAGUGUUUAAUAAACCAAUUCAAACAUAAGCUUAUUGUUAACAAGGAUGAAGUCGUAACAAGGUUUGCGUAGGGGAACCUGCUCAAGAUUAUGCU
rnacentral:misc_RNA from 1 species